UCAACAUUCCACUAACUAUGAAUUAAGUAUUUUUCUCUCCUCCAAAGAUCGAUUCAUAUCCUCUCAGUCGGACUCCUUUUCUUCUUCUCCAAUAAUCUCGACUGAUCCCUAUAUCAUCCUCAAUCAAUUCCAAAUUCACAGUCAAACACUUCUCUUCACAUAGCUUCAUUAUACCUUCCCCGCCUACAAAUUUAGCCAAAAAGAAAAACAAUCCAAGACUUGAAGGCAUGGUUCUCGACCAGAACAUAAUUUUGCUAUCUCUCAAGAAUUAGG
rnacentral:lncRNA from 1 species